CCUGGAAUCAAUUCUGAAGGAAAGCUGGUGGCUUG
rnacentral:sRNA from 1 species